GAUGAACGCUAGCGGCAGGCCUAACACAUGCAAGUCGAGGGGUAGAACACUUCGGUGUUUGAGACCGGCGCACGGGUGCGUAACGCGUAUGCAAUCUACCUUGUACAGGGGAAUAGCCCAGAGAAAUUUGGAUUAAUGCCCCAUAGUAUAUAACCUUCGCAUGUUGGUUAUAUUAAAGUUCCAACGGUACAAGAUGAGCAUGCGUCCCAUUAGUUAGUUGGUAAGGUAACGGCUUACCAAGACGAUGAUGGGUAGGGGUCCUGAGAGGGAGAUCCCCCACACUGGUACUGAGACACGGACCAGACUCCUACGGGAGGCAGCAGUGAGGAAUAUUGGUCAAUGGGCGCAAGCCUGAACCAGCCAUGCCGCGUGCAGGAAGGCGGUCCUAUGGAUUGUAAACUGCUUUUAUACAGGAAGAAACCCUCCCACGUGUGGGAGAUUGACGGUACUGUAGGAAUAAGGAUCGGCUAACUCCGUGCCAGCAGCCGCUGUAACAC
rnacentral:rRNA from 1 species